UGUUAAAAAGCUCGUAGUUGGAUCAAGAGUCGGACAGUGCACGGUGGCCCUGUUUGUCAUAGUGGUUCCGAUCACUGUGACGGCAGCGGAUCAACCCCGUGCGCCAAACUGUCCGCUCUAACAGACCGAAACGGUUCCCUGUGAGUAGGCUCCUUAAUUGGGGCUGAAAGCGCUUACGCAUCAACCAUAUGCAUACGGGACGUCGGUCAAUGUUACUGUGAUCAAACCAGCGUGUCCAAAACAGGCUUUCGCCUGAAUGUUCGAGCAUGGAAUAACAAGGGAUCGAUUCUCUCGGUUCUUUUUGUUGGUUUUUAACCCGAGAAGGAGUAAUUCAGUCCACGGUGUCUGAGUUGGGUUUCCCUUCACCUCGGUGGAGGCCCCAAUUAGGCCGUGUACUUACGGGAUAAAUAGGGACUGACGGGGUCGUACGUACUUCCACGUCAGAGGUGAAAUUCUUAGAUCGUGGGAAGACGAACUUCUGCGAAAGCAUUCGACAAGAAUGUCUUCAUUAAUCAAGAACGAGAGUGUGGGGAUCGAAGAUGAUCAGAUACCGUCGUAGUCCACUACUGUAAACAAUGCCGUCUCAGGAUUGAGAAGUGAACAGAAUGACUUUCACAGCACUACCCCCUGAAACGAGA
rnacentral:rRNA from 1 species